rnacentral:rRNA from 1 species
UACGAAGGGUGCUAGCGUUGCUCGGAAUCACUGGGCGUAAAGGGUGCGUAGGCGGGUCUUUAAGUCAGGGGGGAAAUCCUGGAGCUCAACUCCAGAACUGCCUUUGAUACUGAGGAUCUUGAGUUAGGGAGAGGUGAGUGGAACUGCGAGUGUAGAGGUGAAAUUCGUAGAUAUUCGCAAGAACACCAGUGGCGAAGGCGGCUCACUGGCCCGAUACUGACGCUGAGGCACGAAAGCGUGGGGAGCAAACAGG